AGAAAAACUAAAUUCAGACUCAGGGUUGCACUACCCUUUCAGGCACAUCUGCAGCCCAGGAGCCUGCUGGUACCUGAGAGGGAAUGCAGCAGCAAGGCAAGAAAACAAAUGCCAGGCUCCUUUCCCAUCCCAGCAGUGAGCUCUGCUGGUUCCCUGCUCCUCUCAGACCUGAACUCUGCAGAAACUCCACUCCACCCUUGCUUUCUCAUUAACUCAUUCUCCAUUUGGCUCAGCUGGGAACAUGUUUGAGCUCCUGGAGAUACACUCCAGCCAGCUCCAUGGUCCUCAGUGAUCUCUGCAAACAGCUCACACAGCUCAGAUGGGAUUUAGCUGAGAAUCCAUACCCUGCAGCUGGGUUUCUGAAGUUUCCUUCACACCAGGAUACCAGGAUGGUACCUGCAUAACCUAAUUCUUAAGCUGCUGAACUGCAGCUCAGGCCUUCUGUCUCCUCUCUGCCUUCUUCAGAUAAGGAGGGUGCUCCCAGACAGGCUGUUCCUGAACAGGCCCUGCAGCAGUUCCUCAGUGCCGGGUACAGCCUCAGGGGAGCAGCUGGUGACAGGGACACAGCACAGACUGUCUCUGGCUGAUGGAUGCCUCUGGCCACCUCAGCACUCCACCAUUCCUGCAGGUCCUGGGAAAGCUCAAAGAGGCCCUGCAGCUCUCAGCUGGCCCAGGUGGUCAGCACCAGGUGGUGUUAGCUGGUUUGAUUUUAAAUCCCUUUGGAGGUUGUUUACAAAGGCUUUGUGGUCCAUGAGAAGGACCACACCACUUUUAAGGGUGGUGUGGCCAGAGGCAGUGAAUUCCUCCUUGCUUUGGUUGUAGAACUCUGCUUUACAGUUCCCAUCCAGGGAAGUGAGCCAAAGACAGCUGCCUCUUCCAAAUAAAGGCUUUGUGGAGGCUGCAUCACCCUCUGAUGUUUUGAAAUUUCCAGUGGACCACAUCAGUCAUUGAGAAGUGAGAAGUGGCAUCUGAACUCAACCUUUCACCAAGAAGUAGAACAUCAUCUGUGGCUGGGAGACCAUCUCGUUUCAAAAAUCCCACAUCUGUCAGAAUCCU